AAGGUUAACAUCUUCUUUGGAUCAUAUUGUUAUUGGAUAGAGCGCUGCUUUUAGAUCCCGCGUUUGAGGGUUUGAAUCACACUGCUACGAUCCAUGGUUUACACAACACCUGUCAAAGUGUCAUGCAAUAUAAGUUCCUCAUCAUUCAUAAAUUAUAAGCCACAGAGUCCCAUAGAAAGAAGAAAUAUGAAGGAUGAUUUAUAAUAAUCCAGUGGAACAAAUAUUACUAUAGUAUUAAUGCAACUUCAUUCAAGAACAGUUUUCGAGUCUCGGAUCCAAAAUUAUACAGAUAUCCACAAACUACAACAGGACCAAUACAGAAAAACCCGUUUCAUAACAUUUUUAUUAAAUGGUUUUAAUUCUUCGAUUAAACAAAGAGUAAGAAACUUACCGUAAAGAAGAUACAGAUAUUUCAUAGCUGAACUUCAACUUGUCUUUUUGCAUUCAAUUUCGCAUGGACAUGAUGGAAUUUUGGUCAACAUUGUGACUGUCAGAUGUAAUUUCUGAUUUCUCAUCCAAGUACUUAAUUUUAUGCUAUUAAAAUUCAUUUCAUCUAGCAAAUAAAAAGUAGCUGGGAAGAAUAAUCAGACAGUUUAACUAUUCUAAAGUCUGCAUUCUGAGGAUUGAACAACGGAAAUGAAACAGUGAUAAUAAUCGAAAGUCGGUCUCGAAAAAGGCUGUGAAAUAUUUCCGUUUCAAGUCGUUACAAAACAAUGUCAAUGAACAUCAUUUAAACUUGUUUUUAUGAUAUUAAGUUUAAAAAAUAAACGACAUUUUGAUUUAA